UACAGAGGUCUCAAGCGUUGUUCGGAUUCAUUGGGCGUAAAGGGUGCGUAGGUGGCAUGGUAAGUCGGAUGUGAAAUCCCGGGGCUCAACCCCGGAACUGCAUUCGAUACUGCUGCGCUAGAGUACUGGAGAGGAGAUUGGAAUUUACGGUGUAGCAGUGAAAUGCGUAGAUAUCGUAAGGAAGACCAGUGGCGAAGGCGGAUCUCUGGACAGUUACUGACACUGAGGCAGCGAAGGCCAGGG
rnacentral:rRNA from 1 species